CUGGUCCUCAUACUUGGUGAUGAACAAGAAUCGAGAAUUCCAUGCUAAUCAUGAUAUGGCGGGUCCUACCUGCUCAAGAUUAGAAAUCGAAAACCUCUGAAAGUUUGGACUGGCCUUAGCCAAUUUGAACGC